UACGUAGGGCGCAAGCGUUGUCCGGAAUUAUUGGGCGUAAAGAGCUCGUAGGCGGUUUGCCGCGUCUGCCGUGAAAGCCCGGGGCUCAACCCCGGGUCUGCGGUGGGUACGGGCAGACUGGAGUGCAGUAGGGGAGACCGGAAUUCCUGGUGUAACGGUGAAAUGCGCAGAUAUCAGGAGGAACACCGAUGGCGAAGGCAGGUCUCUGGGCUGUAACUGACGCUGAGGAGCGAAAGCAUGGGGAGCGAACAGG
rnacentral:rRNA from 1 species